GUGCUUGCUUCGGCAGCACAUAUACUAAAACUGGAACGAUACAGAGAAGGUUAGCCUGGUGCCUGCACAAGGGUGACACCCAAAUUCAUGUAGCGUUCCCUAUUUUU
ensembl:snRNA U6 U6 spliceosomal RNA